CUUAUAAAAAUGUUGCGCAAAAUGAGCUCAUGGGCUCUCAUUAAGUGUUUAAUUAGAUUUUUCAAAUACAUUUGCAUUGAUGUCAGAGUGAUUAGAAGGACAAUAGAGUGCUGAAUACCAGGUAGUUAGCAAGUUUGGUCGGCUACUAAUGACCAUCAGCAGCAUCAGAGCUUGGAGAAGACUAAUGACCGUGACAAAACGGUCACGUGGAAUUUGACUUUUGACUGCCUCCAUGACUCGUGACCGCCUGUGUGGGGGUAAUACAGUCAGCGUAACAGUCCUAAUGUGGAGUCAUUCUGGUCUGAUAGGUAUGGGGUGGACUUUUCAGAGAGACCAUGACACGCAACCACUUCAGAGAGACCAUGACACACAACCACUUCAGAGAGACCAUAACACGCAACCACUUCAGAGAGACCAUAACACACAACCACUUCAGAGAGACCAUAACACGCAACCACUUCAGAGAGACCAUAACACGCAACCACUUCAGAGAGACCAUGACACGCAACCACUUCAGAGAGAACAUGACACGCAACCACUUCAGACACCAUGUCACAGACAACGCAACCACUUCAGAGAGACCAUGCACCACUUCAGAGAGAGACCAUGAGACGCAACCCACUCAGAGAGACCCAUGACACGCAACCACUUCAAGAGACCCAUGACACGCAAGCACUACUCAGAGAGACCAUGACACGCAACCACUUCAGAGAGACCAUGACACGCAACCACUUCAGAGAGACCAUGAAACGCAACCACUUCAGAGAAACCAUGUCACGCAACCACUCAGAGAGACCAUGUCACGCAACCACUUCAGAGAGACCAUGACACGCAACCACUUCAGAGACCAUGACACGCAACCACUUCAGAGGACCAUGACAUGCAACCACUUCAGAGAGACCAUGUCAUGCAACGCAACCACUUCAGAGGGACCAUGACAGCAACACUUCAGAGAGACCAUGUCAUGCAACGCAACCACUUCAGAGAGACCCAUGACACGCAGCCACUUCAGAGAGAUUGUGCGACACCUGCGGCAGGUGCACACAAAACAAGGCCCGUGGAAAC
rnacentral:lncRNA from 1 species